rnacentral:rRNA from 1 species
AACGAACGCUGGCGGCAGGCUUAACACAUGCAAGUCGAGCGCUGUAGCAAUACAGAGCGGCAGACGGGUGAGUAACGCGUGGGAACGUACCCUUUGCUACGGAAUAGCUCCGGGAAACUGGAAUUAAUACCGUAUGUGCCCUUCGGGGGAAAGAUUUAUCGGCAAAGGAUCGGCCCGCGUUGGAUUAGCUAGUUGGUGGGGUAAAGGCCUACCAAGGCGACGAUCCAUAGCUGGUCUGAGAGGAUGAUCAGCCUCAUUGGGACUGAGACACGGCCCAAACUCCUACGGGAGGCAGCAGUGGGGAAUAUUGGACAAUGGGCGCAAGCCUGAUCCAGCCAUGCCGCGUGAGUGAUGAAGGCCUUAGGGUUGUAAAGCUCUUUCACCGGUGAAGAUAAUGACGGUAACCGGAGAAGAAGCCCCGGCUAACUUCGUGCCAGCCGCCGCAGUAAAAC